UACGGAAGGCAGCAGUGGGGAAUAUUGCACAAUGGGCGCAAGCCUGAUGCAGCCAUGCCGCGUGUAUGAAGAAGGCCUUCGGGUUGUAAAGUACUUUCAGUCGUGAGGAAGGUGUUAAGGUUAAUAACCUUAGCAAUUGACGUUAGCGACAGAAGAAGCACCGGCUAACUCCGUGCCAGCAGCCGCGGUAAUACGGAGGGUGCGAGCGUUAAUCGGAAUUACUGGGCUAAAGGGCACGCAGGCGGUUAAUUAAGUUGGAUGUGAAAUCCCCGGGCUUAACCUGGGAAUGGCAUUCAAGACUGGUUAGCUAGAGUCCUGUAGAGGGGGUAGAAUUCCAUGUGUAGCGGUGAAAUGCGUAGAGAUGUGGAGGAAUACCGGUGGCGAAGGCGGCCCCUGGGACAAGACUGACGCUCAUGUGCGAAAGCGUGGGGAGCAAACGAGGAUUAGAUACC
rnacentral:rRNA from 1 species